AUUCUUACAUGUGUGACUUGACUUGAUGUCUUGAUGCAUGUAUAACUCUCACAUCUUACAGGGUGAGAGCCAAGUUGCUGGAUAUCUGAAUGGAUGUACAAGAGACCAGAUAGAAAGUAUGGUGCUGGCACUACAGGACCACACUGAUGACACGCUGAUUCCUCACCUAGAAGAAGUUUUGUCUGGCUCGGAGGACAAGUAUCCACGUUUGGCAGCUGCAAUAGGCAUGGAUGCAAGUUAGACCACAUCUCUACUUUAGAAACUGUCUUCAUGAUUCUGUUUCUCUAAGUUUGUAACUUUGUUCCAUCAGUUUGACACAUGUCAUUCUAAUCUUAGUUUCAAUGAAUGUAGUGGAUAUCCAUAGUAUUUUUCUUUUGAUGUUUGAACAUUUUUGUAUUAGCAGUAGUUAGCUUUAUACUUCCCUUUAGUUUUUGUACCAACAGAAGAUUAAACCUCAACAUUGCUUCACAUUGCUUCUCAUUCAGACAAGUGAUAGUUUAAUUAAGAACUUGAAUGACACUGCAAGACUUUUACUCAGACAUUCCAGCUGUGAAUUGAAGAAGCAUGUAAAAUAUUGUACUUUUCUUUCCCUUUGAUAGCUUGAAUGUCAUGUUCAAGAACUGUUGGAUUCAGACUACAUGGAAUUUUUUUUACAAAGUUUAAUGAAAUGAAAUAGCAGACGUAUCCACAUACUGAAAUGCUAGUUUAUGUCUUGAAAGAAUGACGCCUUCAGGUUUAUAUGUUUUGUCAGCUUUUUAAGUUACAGGCACUGUUUAUGUUAAGUUUUUGGUCACAUGUACUGGCAGCUCUGUUAUUGGGUUAUUUGUCUCAUACUAGUAUAUAUAUGUCAGAGUAUGGCAAAAUGAUACAGGCUACAUUUUUUUCCUUCAACUUGCAGCUAUAUAUGGUGUACUCAUUUCUCCAGCUAAAUUUCCAAAACCAGUCAUAAAGUUGACAAUGAUCAAUGAGAAAUGUGCAUAUGAAGUUACAGUUAUUAUAUACAAGAAAUAUGCAAUGUGGAUUGUUAUAAAAUGCCAAAUGUUUAUUUGUGCAAGAUACUUUUGUAAAAUACAUUUACUUCAAGACAUUAGCAUAAUUGAUGCAAAGUGAUAUUUGUUGAUAAAUCAUAGCAGCAUUUGUGCUUCAGCAAAACAAUCUCAAUGUGAAAAAUCUCAAGCAUUUUCAUUAAUAAUUUUUAUGAUCAACAACUACUACAUAUAUUUCAGAAGAUAAUGAUGCAAAUGCACAGUAAAAAUGUGUGUCACCCUUGUAAUUACCUGCAUGACAUCUUUCAUGUGCAUAUCCAUGUCUGAAGACCUUAUGAUACAUAUUACAUCUCUGUGUAAUACUAUGUA